CAGCCGCCGCGGGAAUACGAAUGGUGCAAGCGUUAAUCGGAAUUACUGGGCGUAAAGCGUGCGUAGGCGGUGAGUUAAGUCUGCUGUGAAAUCCCCGGGCUCAACCUGGGAAUGGCAGUGGAUACUGGCUCGCUAGAGUGUGUCAGAGGAUGGUGGAAUUCCCGGUGUAGCGGUGAAAUGCGUAGAGAUCGGGAGGGACAUCAGUGGCGAGGGCGGCCAUCUGGGACAACACUGACGCUGAGGCACGAAAGCGUGGGGAGCAAACAGGAUUAGAUACCCCCAGUAGUCCCUGUCUCUUAUU
rnacentral:rRNA from 1 species